GCUCUCCCUUGCCAGGCCACCGAGAGUCCCAUCCUGUGCCUGACUGGGAAGCAGGAAGGGAUCAGAGGUGCGGCCGGACUCCUAAGCCCGUCGUCGGGAGCGGGUUUGGGCACCAUGACCGUGGGGGCCAGGCUGGGGGGGAAGGUGAAAGCCAAGUUCUCCCACUUGGGGCCUGGCGAGGACAAGGUCUCUAUCCUGAAGCGGCAGCAGGAGGAGGAGGACGGCGUGGGAGCCCCGGGCAGCCAGGCAGAGGAGGGGACCUGCCGCUCCCAGAAAGUACGCUUCGCCUGCGGCAGGAGGGCUGGGGAAGCAGGAGCAAGUGCAAGAGGAAGCUGAGAAAGUACAGCAAGAAUGUGGGCAAAGCUCUCCAGAAAGGAUGUCGCUACUUGGUGAUUGGCCUGCAGGGAUUAGCAACAGCCUAUGCAGCACCCUUUGGAGUGGCAGCCUCAGUAGCCUCUUUGGUCCGCUAGAGUGGCUUUACCUGUCAUAAGGGAAGAAGAAAUGAGCUUUCACAGAGGAGUGCAGUGAUUUGUACUUCCCUAGCAUUAGAGCCGCUGCUGGGACCUGUGUCUGAAAACUCUUUUCAACAACAGCAGUAUAUGAAGAUGCUGACGUGACAUAUUUUAAUGGACCAAGUGUGUUUCUCCAGUACCUUUCAUGCAACCAUCACAAGUGCUUUUUGGCUCUUAAAAUCAGAUUGAGUGAAAGAAUGUGCAAACCCAGGGAAAAACUUGUUGAUGAACUGAGCCAACAUAACUAUAUAACUAUAAAAUUUGUAGUUAUAAAUUAAUUAAUUUACUCAAAUUACUGAGGCUAUUUGUGAAAAGGAGCAAAGGGGAAGGGAAAGCAAGUAGACGAGGGAGAGAGGUAUGAGUGAACUGAAAGGGGGGAUGAGGCGGGAGAAGCAGUGAUUUGAUGCGGGCUACAAGAAGGAGGAGGAGUCAAAAUAAUGGAAGGAAAUGGAGAUAGUAAAGGUAGCAGGAAAAAUAGACUUAAAAGUAGCCUUUGAUUUAUUUGCUUGUGUAUUUUAAUGCUCCAUCAGUGACAGCUACAAUCAAUAUGUUUAGAUAUUGUAUGCAGAGCUUAACUCAGGGCAGAGACAAAGUAGUCCUACUUCAGUCUUGUUAAUUACAGAUGUUGAGAAAUCAUGCCUUGGGCCCUGCAAAAUCAUGAGAUUUGGGAACAAUCACCAGAUUUUUAAAAAGAUAUAUAUUUUGUUUGCUUUCUGGGUGUUGAGCCUUUAGGGUUUCCUCUAGUCAUACUUCUGAGCUUCUCUCUGCAAUUGUGAGGGCUAGAAAAUAACUUUAAAAAUGAAAGCAGAGAAUCUUGUGUAAUUACUUGACUCUGGGAGUUGUGGCUUUAUGGAAAGUACCAAAUAUUGCAAGACUCUCUGUAGUCACAUCUGAGGCCAAUAGAAUUCUACUAAUUCUGUAUUCAUUUCAUGUAAUGAAAGUGGCAGUGAUGGUGUAUCAAAAUGAAACUUUCAGAUGGCUGGGCUAUGAAAUCUGGAUGGAGAUCUCCUAAUAUCACACUGUGAAGAAGCAUUUUUCUUACUAAUAUUCAGAGUCCUAAGUUAUACUUUUCUGCUAAUUUUGCAACUAAAUUUUGUUGGCUUGUUCUCUUUGCCUUAUUAUGAAUGAACUGGAAUUGCUUCUUUAUCAAGCCCGAUUGUGUUUCUUUGAACAGUGAUCAGAAAAAUGAACACACAUCUAUAGUCUUUUCUAGUGGAACUGUAAAUAAAAGUAAAAUGUUU